rnacentral:rRNA from 1 species
CCUACGGGAGGCAGCAGUGGGGAAUAUUGGGCAAUGGAGGAAACUCUGACCCAGCAAUGCCGCGUGAAUGAAGAAGGUCUUCGGAUUGUAAAGUUCUUUAGUUAGGGAAGAAGUCAAUGACGGUACCUGAAGAAUAAGCUUCGGCUAACUACGGGCCAGCAGCCGCGGUAAUGCGGCGGGAGCAAGCGUUGUUCGGAAUGACUGGGUGUAAAGGGUGCGUAGGCGGUUGUGCCAGUUAGAAGUGAAAUACCCAGGGCUUAACUCGGGUGCUGCUUCUAAUACUGUAUGACUUGAGUGCAGUCGAGGUUAGUGGAAUGCCUGGUGUAGCGGUGGAAUGCGUAGAGAUUAGGAGGAACACCAGAGGCGAAGGCGGCUAACUAGACUGCAACUGACGCUGAGGCACGAAAGUGUGGGGAGCAAACAGGAUUAGAUACCCCAGUAGUC